UACGGAGGGUGCAAGCGUUGUCCGGAUUUAUUGGGUUUAAAGGGUGCGUAGGCGGCUCUGUAAGUCAGCGUUGAAAUAUGGCAGCUUAACUGUCAGACUGGCAUUGAUACUGCAGGGCUUGAGUGAAGUCGAGGUUGGCGGAAUUGACGGUGUAGCGGUGAAAUGCAUAGAUAUCGUCAAGAACACCUGCGGCGAAGGCGGGUUGCUGGGCUGAUACUGACGCUGAGGCGCGAAAGCUAGGGGGAGCAAACGGG
rnacentral:rRNA from 1 species